rnacentral:piRNA from 1 species
UGUCAUCACAGAGAUUUUGGCGUUGCUGC